rnacentral:rRNA from 1 species
AGUGAACGCUGGCGGCGUGCUUAACACAUGCAAGUCGAACGAGAACGGGCUAUAGCUUGCUAUAGUUGUCAGCUAAGUGGCGCACGGGUGAGUAAUGUAUAGGUAAUAUGCCUCUUACUAAGGGAUAACAAAUGGAAACGUUUGCUAAUACCUUAUACUCCUUUUAAACAGAAGUUUAAAAGGGAAAGAUUUAUUGGUAAGAGAUUAGCCUGUAUUGUAUCAGUUAGUUGGUGGGGUAAUGGCUUACCAAGACUAUGACACAUAACUGGUUUGAGAGGAUGAACAGUCACACUGGAACUGAGACACGGUCCAGACUCCUACGGGAGGCAGCAGUGGGGAAUAUUGCACAAUGGACGAAAGUCUGAUGCAGCAACGCCGCGUGGAGGAUGACACAUUUCGGUGCGUAAACUCCUUUUAUAUGAGAAGAUAAUGACGGUAUUAUAUGAAUAAGCACCGGCUAACUCCGUGCCAGCAGCCGCGGUAAUAC